rnacentral:rRNA from 1 species
AACGAACGCUGGCGGCAGGCCUAACACAUGCAAGUCGAACGCCCCGCAAGGGGAGUGGCAGACGGGUGAGUAACGCGUGGGAACCUUCCCAGUGGUACGGAAUAACUGACCGAAAGGUUGGCUAAUACCGUAUACGCCCGAAAGGGGAAAGAUUUAUCGCCAUUGGAUGGGCCCGCGUCGGAUUAGCUAGUUGGUGAGGUAAUGGCUCACCAAGGCGACGAUCCGUAGCUGGUCUGAGAGGAUAAUCAGCCACACUGGGACUGAGACACGGCCCAGACUCCUACGGGAGGCAGCAGUGGGGAAUAUUGGACAAUGGGCGCAAGCUUGAUCCAGCCAUGCCGCGUGAGUGAUGAAGGUCUUCGGAUUGUAAAACUCUUUCGCCGGGGAAGAUAAUGACGGUACCCGGAGAAGAAGCUCCGGCUAACUUCGUGCCAGCCGCCGCGGUAA